UGGUAUGAAGCCAAAGGGUAUAGGCGAUGGGUUCAUGUCCCAAGAAAAGCAGGUUCGAGUCCUGAGAUACCAA
rnacentral:tRNA from 1 species